AUAUUUUUGCGUAUGUGUAAAUACGACGGUCACUUUACAACAUUCACCUUUACCGCAGAGGCUAAAGUCCUAACUAGAACAAAUUUUAUUUUAUUUUUCAUUUUCAUGUCUCGUGUAAUCUUAAACUACUGUUUUUCCUCUCCAGGGAAGAGCAUCUUGAUUUUUUUUUUUUGUGUUAAAUUAACUAGAACAAAACUAGAACUAGAACUAUAAAUUAUUUUUCUGUCUUCAACUAAAAAGAGAAUUUACAUCAGACAACUUUAAAAAUUAAAAUGCCCAAAAUGAACGGUUAUAUCUAUAAUGAUCAGCGACAUGGGUGAGAUUUUUUCUUCAGCCAUGAAUGUGAACAGGAAAUAAAGCUCUUCUGUUAGCUCACAUACAUGAACAUUCAAGCGUAUACACAAAUAUUUCUUAGAAGUCUUGAGCAAGGGAACAUUUCGACAAGACGAUUUGCCACUUGUCAUCGGCAAGCCAGACACAACAGUGCACAGAGCCACACACUCUCACAAUGGUUCAGCCCACAAAGCCACACACAACUGAACAAUGUGACCAUCUCUAAAGGAGGCGGAAGGGAGUGGGGGUGAGGUCACGCACCUGCACCCUAAGAGCUUUCAAAGAGCUCAUGCAGAGGAAGAUGACCUGCUGGUAUCAGACACAAAAAACACACCCCCCAUGCUGUGACUGGUGCACUUAAACCCCUGUGGCUGGAGUUUUACACUCUUUGGCAAGUAUUACAACAGUGGGCUCAUUGAGCAAGAGCAGAGUGAGAGUAAAGACUGACAGAGUGGUGAAACUCCUGACUGUCUCACUUCACAUUGAUCCUUUCUGUCUAUUCAUAUCUGUUUAACCUUUUGAAAUGUAUAACUCAGUUGGAACAGAUACAAAUAUGUACAAGGUAUAAAUGAUGUUUUUUUUCCCCAUUAUGUGAUGUGUUGGUUUCUCUAUAUUAUUAUAAAUCAGC